rnacentral:rRNA from 1 species
GACGAACGCUGGCGGCGUGCUUAGCACAUGCAAGUCGAACGGAAAGGCCCUGCUUUUGUGGGGUGCUCGAGUGGCGAACGGGUGAGUAACACGUGAGUAACCUGCCCUUGACUUUGGGAUAACUUCAGGAACUGGGGCUAAUACCGGAUAGGAGCUCCUGCUGCAUGGUGGGGGUUGGAAAGUUUCGGCGGUUGGGGAUGGACUCGCGGCUUAUCAGCUUGUUGGUGGGGUAGUGGCUUACCAAGGCUUUGACGGGUAGCCGGCCUGAGAGGGUGACCGGCCACAUUGGGACUGAGAUACGGCCCAGACUCCUACGGGAGGCAGCAGUGGGGAAUAUUGCACAAUGGGCGGAAGCCUGAUGCAGCAACGCCGCGUGCGGGAUGACGGCCUUCGGGUUGUAAACCGCUUUCGCCUGUGACGAAGCGUGAGUGACGGUAAUGGGUAAAGAAGCACCGGCUAACUACGUG